rnacentral:lncRNA from 1 species
AUUGAAGGGAUUGAUUGAAGUUGAAUCCAUAGUUUUCACUUUUCGUACCAUUAUUAUGAGAAUACAAUAAGAAAAAGAUUUAUAAAUUUUCCUUUCAAGACGAUCAAGAGAAAAUCACAACAGAUAAACCUUCCCAAAGCACUCUCCAAAAAACUUGGUUCCCAGGGAGGAGUAAAAACAAACAGAGCCAACAGGCAACAGCUUAAUUCUUCCAGGAAUAGCAUGAACAGCUUUCAAACUAGCUGCAUUUCUGGAACAAGCACAUUCUAGAGUAACAGGCAUUCACCAGCUACAUCGCAAAACCACCAUCUAAACCCUCAUCAACAGUAUCUGUAUGAACAUCAAGAAGUCCCUUUCAACUUGCAAGAAUUUGUCUGCUUACUUUGGAAAAUCAACAAAAUUUUUUACAGAUUACAAAUCUUCAUCUCUUGACAUCCUCAGAAAUGCUUUUCUCCAGUAGUUGCCAAAAGAGACCUUCAAAUUAUUAGUAGAGACUGUAUUCACCAAAUACUCCAGAUGCAAGAGUGCACUAGCAAAGAGAAUUCAUG